rnacentral:rRNA from 1 species
UGAACGCUGGCGGCGUGCCUAAUACAUGCAAGUCGAGCGAACAGACGAGGAGCUUGCUCCUCUGACGUUAGCGGCGGACGGGUGAGUAACACGUGGAUAACCUACCUAUAAGACUGGGAUAACUUCGGGAAACCGGAGCUAAUACCGGAUAAUAUAUUGAACCGCAUGGUUCAAUAGUGAAAGACGGUUUUGCUGUCACUUAUAGAUGGAUCCGCGCCGCAUUAGCUAGUUGGUAAGGUAACGGCUUACCAAGGCAACGAUGCGUAGCCGACCUGAGAGGGUGAUCGGCCACACUGGAACUGAGACACGGUCCAGACUCCUACGGGAGGCAGCAGUAGGGAAUCUUCCGCAAUGGGCGAAAGCCUGACGGAGCAACGCCGCGUGAGUGAUGAAGGUCUUCGGAUCGUAAAACUCUGUUAUUAGGGAAGAACAAAUGUGUAAGUAACUAUGCACGUCUUGACGGUACCUAACCAGAAAGCCACGGCUAACUACGUG